CUGAAUGAGUAUACUUGAAGGGCAAGAGGAUAUACUGGAGGAGUGUAAGAAAAAAUAUAUUCCAACAUUCAUGAGUGGUUGUGCUUUCUGGUUGCCUGCAAUGGCUCUCAAUUUUUGGCUGAUGCCCAAUUCAAUGAGAGUUCUUUUCCUUGGUGCAUGUACAUUUUUGUGGUGCAAUUUUAUAUGUUGGUACAAGAGACAAUGAAUAUAGGUUUUGUAGAAAAAGAGACAAAUGAAAAUUAGUUUUGUGAA
rnacentral:lncRNA from 1 species